AGAGUUUGAUCCUGGCUCAGAACGAACGCUGGCGACGCGCUUAACACAUGCAAGUCGAACGGUCCUGAUAGAGCCGUAAGGUGAUAUCGGGAUAGUGGCAAACGGGUGAGUAAUACGUGGAUAAUCUACCCUUGAGUGGGGGGUAACUCUGCGAAAGUGGAGCUAAUACCGCGUAAGACUACAGAAUCGCAUGAUUCAGUAGUAAAAGGCUCCGGUUUACCGGAGUCGCUCAGGGAUGAAUCCGCGCCUGAUUAGCUAGUUGGUAGGGUAACAGCCUACCAAGGCAACGAUCAGUAGCCGGCCUGAAAGGGUGUUCGGCCACACUGGAAUUGAGAUACGGUCCAGACUCCUACGGGAGGCAGCAGUGGGGAAUCUUGCGCAAUGGGGGAAACCCUGAUCCAGCGACGCCGCGUGCUCGAAGAAGCCCUUCGGGGUGUAAAGAGCUUUUCUGGAGGAAGAAGUUUUGACUGACAGUACUCCAGGAAUAAGGGGGUGCUAAUCACGUGCCAGCAGCCGCGGUAAUACGUGACCCCCAAGCGUUAUCCGGAUUUAUUGGGCGUAAAGCGUCUGUAGGCGGUUUGGAAAGUUUUUGGUUAAAUACCCAGGGCUUAACCUUGGGGCUGCCAGAGAUACUUCCAGACUAGAGGGCGUUAGAGGCUGAUGGAACGGUCGGUGUAGAGGUGAAAUUCGUUGAUAUCGACCGGAAUACCGAAAGCGAAGGCAUCAGCUGGGGCGACNCUGACGUUGAGAGACGAAAGCGUGGGGAGCAAAAAGGAUUAGAUACCCUUUGUAGUCCACGCUGUAAACGAUGGACACUGGCUAUUUGAAGUGUCGACCCUUCAAGUGGCGAAGCUAACGCGUUAAGUGUCCCGCCUGGGAAGUACGGCGGCAACGCUAAAACUCAAAGGAAUAGACGGGGACUCACACAAGCGGUGGACCAUGUGGCUUAAUUCGACAACAAGCGAAGAACCUUACCAGGGCUUGACAGGCUAGUGAAAAUCUUCCGAAAAGAAGAUCUACCCACAAGGACACUAGCCCAGGUGCUGCAUGGUUGUCGUCAGCAUGUGUUUUGAAAUGCACGCUUAAAUGCGGUAACAUGCGCAACCCUUACCCUAUGUUUUAUUUGUCAUAGGGAACUGCCUGGGAUGACCAGGAGGAAGGUGAGGAUGACGCCAAAUCAGCAUGGCCCUUUGAUGCCCUGGGCUGCACACGUGGUACAAUGGGGCUGACAAUGGGUUGCCAAGGGGUAACCUGGAGCUAAUCCCAUCAAACAGCCUCUUAGUUCGGAUUGAGGUCUGCAACUCGACCUCAUGGAGCCGGAAUCGCUAGUAAUCGCCAAUCAGCCACGUGGCGAUGAAUAUGUUCCUGAGUCUUGUACUCACCGCCCGUCACAUUAGGGAAGCCGGCAGUAGCCGAAGUUCCGAGUAAUCGAGCCUAAGCUAAGGUCGGUAACCAGAAUGAAGUCGUAACAAGGUAACC
rnacentral:rRNA from 1 species